GACGAACGCUGGCGGCGUGCUUAACACAUGCAAGUCGAACGGAAAGGCCCUGCUUUUGUGGGGUGCUCGAGUGGCGAACGGGUGAGUAACACGUGAGUAACCUGCCCUUGACUUUGGGAUAACUUCAGGAAACUGGGGCUAAUACCGGAUAGGAGCUCCUGCUGCAUGGUGGGGGUUGGAAAGUUUCGGCGGUUGGGGAUGGACUCGCGGCUUAUCAGCUUGUUGGUGGGGUAGUGGCUUACCAAGGCUUUGACCGGUAGCCGGCCUGAUAGGGUGACCGGCCACAUUGGGACUGAGAUGCGGCCCGGACUCCUCCGGGAGGCAGCAGUGGGGAAUAUUGCACAAUGGGCGGAAGCCUGAUGCAGCAACGCCGCGUGCGGGAUGACGGCCUUCGGGUUGUAAACCGCUUUCGCCUGUGACGAAGCGUGAGUGACGGUAAUGGGUAAAGAAGCACCGGCUAACUACGUG
rnacentral:rRNA from 1 species